UCGAACGAACUCUGGUAUUGAUUGGUGCUUGCAUCAUGAUUUACAUUUGAGUGAGUGGCGAACUGGUGAGUAACACGUGGGAAACCUGCCCAGAAGCGGGGGAUAACACCUGGAAACAGAUGCUAAUACCGCAUAACAACUUGGACCGCAUGGUCCGAGUUUGAAAGAUGGCUUCGGCUAUCACUUUUGGAUGGUCCCGCGGCGUAUUAGCUAGAUGGUGGGGUAACGGCUCACCAUGGCAAUGAUACGUAGCCGACCUGAGAGGGUAAUCGGCCACAUUGGGACUGAGACACGGCCCAAACUCCUACGGGAGGCAGCAGUAGGGAAUCUUCCACAAUGGACGAAAGUCUGAUGGAGCAACGCCGCGUGAGUGAAGAAGGGUUUCGGCUCGUAAAACUCUGUUGUUAAAGAAGAACAUAUCUGAGAGUAACUGUUCAGGUAUUGACGGUAUUUAACCAGAAAGCCACGGCUAACUACGUGCCAGCAGCCGCGGUAAUACGUAGGUGGCAAGCGUUGUCCGGAUUUAUUGGGCGUAAAGCGAGCGCAGGCGGUUUUUUAAGUCUGAUGUGAAAGCCUUCGGCUCAACCGAAGAAGUGCAUCGGAAACUGGGAAACUUGAGUGCAGAAGAGGACAGUGGAACUCCAUGUGUAGCGGUGAAAUGCGUAGAUAUAUGGAAGAACACCAGUGGCGAAGGCGGCUGUCUGGUCUGUAACUGACGCUGAGGCUCGAAAGUAUGGGUAGCAAACAGGAUUAGAUACCCUGGUAGUCCAUACCGUAAACGAUGAAUGCUAAGUGUUGGAGGGUUUCCGCCCUUCAGUGCUGCAGCUAACGCAUUAAGCAUUCCGCCUGGGGAGUACGGCCGCAAGGCUGAAACUCAAAGGAAUUGACGGGGGCCCGCACAAGCGGUGGAGCAUGUGGUUUAAUUCGAAGCUACGCGAAGAACCUUACCAGGUCUUGACAUACUAUGCAAAUCUAAGAGAUUAGACGUUCCCUUCGGGGACAUGGAUACAGGUGGUGCAUGGUUGUCGUCAGCUCGUGUCGUGAGAUGUUGGGUUAAGUCCCGCAACGAGCGCAACCCUUAUUAUCAGUUGCCAGCAUUAAGUUGGGCACUCUGGUGAGACUGCCGGUGACAAACCGGAGGAAGGUGGGGAUGACGUCAAAUCAUCAUGCCCCUUAUGACCUGGGCUACACACGUGCUACAAUGGAUGGUACAACGAGUUGCGAACUCGCGAGAGUAAGCUAAUCUCUUAAAGCCAUUCUCAGUUCGGAUUGUAGGCUGCAACUCGCCUACAUGAAGUCGGAAUCGCUAGUAAUCGCGGAUCAGCAUGCCGCGGUGAAUACGUUCCCGGGCCUUGUACACACCGCCCGUCACACCAUGAGAGUUUGUAACACCCAAAGUCGGUGGGGUAACCUUUUAGGAACCAGCCG
rnacentral:rRNA from 2 species